rnacentral:rRNA from 1 species
UACGGGGGGGGCAAGCGUUGUUCGGAAUUACUGGGCGUAAAGGGCUCGUAGGCGGCCAACUAAGUCAGACGUGAAAUCCCUCGGCUUAACCGGGGAACUGCGUCUGAUACUGGAUGGCUUGAGUUCGGGAGAGGGAUGCGGAAUUCCAGGUGUAGCGGUGAAAUGCGUAGGUAUCUGGAGGAACACCGGUGGCGAAGGCGGCAUCCUGGACCGACACUGACGCUGAGGAGCGAAAGCCAGGGGAGCAAACGGG